GACUAACGCUGGCGGCGUGCUUAACACAUGCAAGUUGAACGGAGCACACCAAGUAGCAAUACGAGGUGUGCUUAGUAGCGGACGGGUGAGUAACGCGUGAGUAACCUGCCUUUGUGAGGGGGACAACAGCCGGAAACGGCUGCUCAUACCGCAUGAGACCACGACCUCGAGUGGGGUUGAGGUAAAAGAUUUAUCGCACAAAGAUGGACUCGCGUCCCAUUAGCUAGUUGGUGAGGUAACGGCCCACCAAGGCGACGAAGGGUAGCCGACCUGAGAGGGUGAUCGGCCACACUGGAACUGAGACACGGUCCAGACUCCUACGGGAGGCAGCAGUGGGGAAUAUUGGGCAAUGGGCGCAAGCCUGACCCAGCAACGCCGCGUGAGGGAAGAAGGUCUUCGGAUUGUAAACCUCUGUCCUCAGGGACGAAUUAUGACGGUACCUGAGGAGGAAGCUCCGGCUAACUACGUGCCAGCCGCCGCCGUAACAC
rnacentral:rRNA from 1 species